UUAAGAAAAGGAGAUACUAGUAUUAUGUAUACCCUCAAGGAAAAAAAAUUAUUAAGGUAUGCUGAAUAUUUUACCUACGAGGAUAUAUUUAAAGAAAACCUUACGCUAUCUCGUACUUUUUCCCUGCGGGAUUUAUUUGCUAUCAUAUUUAACUAAACCCUUGACAGAUAGCGAAACUAAAUGGAUAUAAUGUAGUUUUGGAAUUUUUUUCGCUGUGGUAUGGACAUAACAUGGACAAAACCAUGGGACAAAGGAUAUUUUAGCAGGAUAUUGCAAAAGAUACUGAAGACGCGGUGUUCCUCGAUAUAUUUUCGGUGACAACUAUUUCCUACAUGUAUCUUCGGGCGAUUUUGUAUUGUCUCAACACUUUUUCUCAGAAUAACUUUAAAACUUUGGGUUAUGUGGUAUAUUGUAAUAUAUUAUUAUAGUCCGAGUUAUUAUACUUUCAUUUUGAAUUUGCUAAA